ACAAAUUCAAGAAAACAUUCACGUAAACGUUUACCACCAAUUUGUAAACGAUUACAACACCCUUUUUCAAUGCACUUGACUCAGGAUUUCAUCCAACUACUUUUAGUGAACACAAGACCUUCCUCAAUGGAAUUUGGGGUCUCCAAAAUCAAGUCUUCACCCGCAACACAAAACUUCAAACCAAAAACAUCAAAAACCAAUUAAAAGUUUGCCAAAAAGUGAAAAUUUUACAUCGUGGUCCCCUGUGUACAAAAAAGUGGUUCCUUUAGAAGAACUUUUUGUACAAAUUCAAGAAAACAUUCGCGUAAACGUUUACCACCAAUUUGUAAAUGAUUACAACACCCUUUUUCAAUGCACUUGACUAAGGAUUUCAUUCAACUACUUUUNGUGAACACAAGACCUUCCUCAAAGGAAUUUGGGGUCUCCAAAAUCAAUUCUCCACCCCCAACACACAACUUAAAACCAAAAACAUCAAAAACCAAUCCAAAGUUUGCCAAAAAGUGAAA
rnacentral:lncRNA from 1 species